UGGUUACAAAGUCUUUAUUUGUGAUUCGUAGACAAUAAAUAUGUACGUGUCUGAAAAUAAAACGAACGGCACACUAGGUGGUUAGUGCGCAUGCCCGUUAAUGCGCCACUAGCAGUGCACUGCCCCCUGGCGGCCUGUCGCCGCAGUCCAUUGCGUAACACACCACAUCUCGCCUGUAAACCUCGCGGGCAAAACUUCGCUCACCCGCGGCAUGGGAAAGCGCAAAUCACCAUAACUUUCCCGCGAAACCGUUCGGAAAUUAAAAAAAAUAAAAAAUUGUUUAUUAAAAAAAAAUUAGUUUAUGUUUGAUUUAUUUGUAAAGUUGACUUUCUGUGGCCGGUUUUAUUAGUGAGGACGAUUGUGUGUGUGUGUUUUAUUUUGUUUUUGUUUUACUUUCGCUCGGUAGUUGGCUGGUGGCGUUGGUUGGUGGCUGGUGGUGCGGAAUCGAUACUGCGGUGGGAGCGGCAAGAUAGCUACACUCCAUGAUGUUGUUGCGGAGACCUAGAGCAGCUCGGGCUGGUUGAACGCGUCUCCACAUGUCGACAACACUCUGCAGUCAGCAGAAAGAUGUCCUAAUAUGGGUUGGUCAUGCGUGGUGGCACGCGCCGUGGCUGUCCUCCUCAUGCUCAGCAGAGUAUCUGCGCUUACGUCCGACAUCUUUGCAGCGGGCAAGUCGGACAAAGAGAUUUUGGACAAUCUUCUGAAAAACUCCCGCUAUGACAAAAGACUGCUUCCACCAGUAGAUGAUCCUGAAUUUUGUUGUGGUCUCACUUCGCCGAACGACACUGACAAUCAAAAUAAUAUUGGGCUACCCUCGCUUCGGCCUCGAUCGCACAAUCGUGGUGUCCUCACCGUAAAUGUUAGCGUGCUACUUCUUAGUUUAGCAUCUCCAGAUGAAUCUAGUCUUAAAUACGAGGUUGAAUUUCUUCUGCAGCAGCAGUGGUAUGAUCCUCGGCUUCGGUAUUCAAACCAGUCGCAUUACGACUUUCUUAACGCCAUCCAUCAUCACGAGGAUAUCUGGCUCCCUGACACAUACUUCAUUAUGCAUGGAGAUUUCAAAGAUCCAAUAAUACCGAUGCACUUUGCCUUGCGCAUAUAUCGGAACGGCACCAUCAACUAUUUGAUGCGGCGACACCUCAUCCUGUCCUGUCAGGGCAGCCUCAACAUCUUUCCAUUUGACGACCCAUUGUGUUCAUUUGCGUUAGAAAGUAUAUCAUACGAACAAUCAGCUAUAACUUAUGUAUGGAAAAACGAUGAAGAUACUCUGAGGAAGUCACCGUCGUUGACAACGCUCAAUGCGUAUCUCAUACAGAACCAAACCAUUCCUUGUCCCAUCAAAGCGAGCUGGAGAGAUUGUCAUACAGCUGAUGGUAUAACACUUUACGAAGACGAUGAAGAGCUGACAUGUAAUCUUUGCCAGAGACGAUUUGAGGAGCAAGGUAAUUACAGCUGUCUCGAAGUGGAUCUCAUCUUCACGAGAGAUAGAUCAUUUUACUUCACUACUGUUUUCAUUCCGGGCAUCAUUUUGGUGACAUCGUCUUUUAUUACUUUUUGGCUGGAAUGGAAUGCAGUACCUGCUAGAGUUAUGAUAGGUGUAACAACUAUGUUGAAUUUCUUUACAACGUCCAAUGGUUUCCGUUCAACGCUGCCUGUGGUGUCCAAUUUGACCGCAAUGAACGUGUGGGACGGCGUGUGUAUGUGUUUUAUCUACGCGUCUCUCCUCGAAUUUGUCUGCGUCAAUUACGUGGGUCGGAAGAGGCCUUUACACAAUGUGGUGUAUCGCCCCGGCGAGAACCCAGUCACUCAGCGACUGCCCGCAGUUCUGAGCAGAAUUGGCAUUAUACUGGCCAGCCCUUUGGAGGCGAUGGCAUUCCUCCAUUGGGCAAAAUCUGAAACGCCCCAACCGGAGUCUAGCGGUGCUGUAAGUGACGUCACAACGCCCAAACACAAUUCGCUAAACACCAUAGUACCAUCUCAAAUCUGAUAUCACGAAAUCUAACGCAUAUUUUUUCUUUAACGCCACAUCGGAUCGCUACAGCCUGGUGAUAAAAAGAGAGAGUCUACAACUGCAGCAGACCUGGUGACGUGUACAGCAUGCACUGGUGCACCAGGAUCUUGUACCCAUACGGCCA
rnacentral:misc_RNA from 1 species